rnacentral:rRNA from 1 species
CACCGCGGCCGUGCAAAGGUAGCAUAAUCAUUAGUCUUUUAAAAAGGGGCUGGAAUGAAAGGUUUGACGAGGUGCUAACUGUCUCAUUUUAUUUGAAAAUUUAAUUUUUUAGUCAAAAAGCUAAAAUUUAAUUGGUAGACGAGAAGACCCCCUAGAGCUUUAUAUAUAUUUUGUUGGGGGGGCCCAAAUAUUUUUUAUUUUUUUAACAUUAAUUUAUGAAUAUUACAUCCCUUAUUAUUGAUUAAUAGAUACCCCUACCUUCUUGAUAACCCCGCCCUCCUCCCCCACAGAUCAUAUAUUCCCGUGCCAUCUACGUGGGCGAUUAAUAAUAUUUUUGUGUCGUCGCGCAAAAAAA